AUACGUAGGGGGCGAGCGUUGUCCGGAAUGAUUGGGCGUAAAGGGCGCGUAGGCGGCCCGGUAAGUCUGGAGUGAAAGUCCUGUUUUUAAGAUGGGAAUUGCUUUGGAUACUGUCGGGCUUGAGUGCAGGAGAGGUAAGUGGAAUUCCCAGUGUAGCGGUGAAAUGCGUAGAGAUUGGGAGGAACACCAGUGGCGGAGGCGACUUACUGGACUGUAACUGACGCUGAGGCGCGAAAGUGUGGGGAGCAAACAGGAUUAGAUACCCUGGUAGUCCACACUGUAAACGAUGAUGACUAACUGCCGGCCCGUUGCGGGUCGGUGGCCAAGCGAAAGCGAUAAGUCAUCCACCUGGGGAGUACGACCGCAAGGUUGAAACUCAAAUGAAUUGGCGGGGG
rnacentral:rRNA from 1 species